UGCCAGCAGCCGCGGUAAUACGGAGGGUGCAAGCGUUAUCCGGAAUCACUGGGCUUAAAGGGUGCGUAGGCGGCACAAUCAGUCAGAGGUGAAAUAUGACGGCUCAACCGUCAAACUGCCCCUGAAACUGACAGGCUUGAGUCCGGGAGAGGUAGGUGGAAUUCCAGGUGUAGCGGUGAAAUGCGUAAAUAUCUGGAGGAACACCGGUGGCGAAGGCGGCCUACUGGCCCGGAACUGACGCUCAGGCACGAAAGCAUGGGGAGCGAACGGGAUUAGAUA
rnacentral:rRNA from 1 species